rnacentral:rRNA from 1 species
UACGAAGGGGGGCUAGCGUUGCUCGGAAUCACUGGGCGUAAAGCGCACGUAGGCGGCUUUCUAAGUCAGGGGUGAAAUCCUGGAGCUCAACUCCAGAACUGCCUUUGAUACUGGAGAGCUUGAGUCCGGAAGAGGUGAGUGGAACUCCGAGUGUAGAGGUGAAAUUCGUAGAUAUUCGGAAGAAACACCAGUGGCGAAGGCGGCUCACUGGUCCGGUACUGACGCUGAGGUGCGAAAGCGUGGGGAG